rnacentral:rRNA from 1 species
CACGUAGGGUGCGAGCGUUGUCCGGAAUUAUUGGGCGUAAAGAGCUCGUAGGCGGUGUGUCGCGUCGGCCGUGAAAACCUGGGGCUUAACUCUGGGCUUGCGGUCGAUACGGGCAUCACUGGAGUUCGGCAGGGGAGACUGGAAUUCCUGGUGUAGCGGUGGAAUGCGCAGAUAUCAGGAGGAACACCAGCGGCGAAGGCGGCGCUCUGGGCCGGAACUGACGCUGAGGAGCGAAAGCGUGGGUAGCAAACAGG